rnacentral:rRNA from 1 species
CCUACGGGGGGCAGCAGUGAGGAAUAUUGGUCAAUGGACGAGAGUCUGAACCAGCCAAGUAGCGUGAAGGAUGACUGCCCUAUGGGUUGUAAACUUCUUUUAUAAAGGAAUAAAACGAGGCACGUGUGCCUUUUGCAUGUACUUUAUGAAUAAGGAUCGGCUAACUCCGUGCCAGCAGCCGCGGUAAUACGGAGGAUCCGAGCGUUAUCCGGAUUUAUUGGGUUUAAAGGGAGCGUAGAUGGGUUGUUAAGGCAGUUGUGAAGGUUUGCGGCUCAACCGUAAAAUUGCAAUUGAUACUGGCAGUCUUGAGUACAGUUGAGGUAGGCGGAAUUCGUGGUGUAGCGGUGAAAUGCUUAGAUAUCACGAAGAACCCCGAUUGCGAAGGCAGCUUACUAAACUGUGACUGACAUUGAUGCUCGAAAGUGUGGGUAUCAAACAGGAUUAGAUACCCUGGUAGUC